rnacentral:rRNA from 1 species
ACGCUGGCGGCGUGCUUAACGCAUGCGAGUCGACGAGAACUCCCUGGCUUGCCGGGGAUAGUAAAGUGGCGCACGGGUGAGUAACACGUGAGUAAUCUGCCUUCGAAUCGGGGAUACCCCGCGAAAGCGGGGCUAAUACCGGAUGAAGUCCGGAUGGUUUUGGCUGUUUGGAUGAAAUGUGGCCUCUACAUGUAAGCUACUGUUUGAAGAUGAGCUCGCGGACCAUUAGCUUGUUGGUGGGGUAAAGGCCUACCAAGGCAACGAUGGUUAGCUGGUCUGAGAGGAUGAUCAGUCACACUGGAACUGACACACGGUCCAGACUCCUACGGGAGGCAGCAGUGAGGAAUUUUGCGCAAUGGGGGAAACCCUGACGCAGCAACGCCGCGUGAGUGAUGAAGGCCUUCGGGUCGUAAAGCUCUGUCGAGUGGGAAGAACCUGCAUUGGAGAUAAUAUUCCGAUGCACUGACGGUACCACUGGAGGAAGCACCGGCUAACUCCGUGCCAGCAGCCGCGGUACUACGGAGGGUGCAAGCGUUAUUCGGAAUCAUUGGGCGUAAAGGGCACGUAGGCGGUAUGCUGGGUCGGAUGUGAAAU